CUCAGUAACACAUGAUCAACUUGCCCUAUGGAGGACAAUAACCUCGGGAAACUGAGGAUAAUAGUCCAUAGUUGAUUAGGCUUGGAAAAGUUUUUCAAUGAAUGGAAUAAGAAAAAUGGUUCUUAUUUGCCAUAGGAUAGGAUCGUGCUCGAUUAUGGUUGUUGGUGAGGUAAAGGCUCACCAAGCCGAUAAUCGAUAGGGGCCGUGAGAGCGGUUGCCCCGAGAUGGGUACUGAGAUAACGACCCAGGCCUUACGAGGCGCAGCAGGCGCGAAACCUCAUCACUACACGAAAGUGUGAAUGGGUUACCCAAAGUGUCCUUAUUGGACUGUGGUAGGUGAGUAAUGUUCCCUACUAGAAAGGAGAGGGCAAGGCUGGUGCCAGCCGCCGCGGUAAAACCAGCUCUUCAAGUGGUCGGGAUAAUUAUUGGGCUUAAAGUGUCCGUAGCCGGUAUGGUAAGUUCCUGGUAAAAUCGGGUAGCUUAACUAUCUGUGUGCUAGGAAUACUGCUAUACUAGAGGGCGGGAGAGGUCUGAGGUACUACGGGGGUAGGGGUGAAAUCUUAUAAUCCUCGUAGGACCACCAGUGGCGAAGGCGUCAGACUGGAACGCGCCUGACGGUGAGGGACGAAAGCCAGGGGAGCGAACCGGAUUAGAUACCCGGGUAGUCCUGGCCGUAAACGAUGCGCACUAGGUGAUGGUGCGGCCAUGAGCCGCAUCAGUGCCGUAGGGAAACCGUUAAGUAUGCCGCCUGGGAAGUACGGUCGCAAGGCUAAAACUAAAG
rnacentral:rRNA from 1 species